UCUGAUCUGAUCUGGAAGGGAGAUCUUACAUUACGUCAAUUUAAAUAGGGAUCUUCCCCUCAGGUUUAACUCUAGCUAACUCAGCAAAAUCCAGAGCAAAAUCUACCCAGGCCAAGAUGACAACAACUCUCCUGUUUUCCUCUGUUGUCCUUGUCCUGACCCUACUGUCAUGUCAGCCAGCUCAAAGUGAUGAUUUGAUACCAAACCCUGAAAAAGCAUUCUCACCACUAGAUUUUCUGGGACCAAUACAACCAGGGCUGACUGUUGGAGUGGUUGGUGGAACAGUGGUGGCGAUGCUGGUUUUGGCAGUGUGUGUGUAUGCCCCUCUACCUAGACCAAGGAAAUACGAGGUCACAUGACAACAUUGACAAACCAUAAACUGAAUGUUUUUGUACGUGAAUUAUAAUAAUUAUUGCAUAGUUAAUGUACAGUG